GCCAGACUCCUACGGGAGGCAGCAGUGGGGAAUAUUGGGCAAUGGGCGCAAGCCUGACCCAGCAACGCCGCGUGAAGGAAGAAGGCUUUCGGGUUGUAAACUUCUUUUAAGAGGGAAGAGCAGAAGACGGUACCUCUUGAAUAAGCCACGGCUAACUACGUGCCAGCAGCCGCGGUAAUACGUAGGUGGCAAGCGUUGUCCGGAUUUACUGGGUGUAAAGGGCGUGCAGCCGGGAAGACAAGUCAGAUGUGAAAUCCCGCGGCUCAACCGCGGAACUGCAUUUGAAACUGUUUUUCUUGAGUACCGGAGAGGUCAUCGGAAUUCCUUGUGUAGCGGUGAAAUGCAUAGAUAUCGCGCAGAACUCCGAUUGCGAAGGCAGCGUACCGGCGCCGGACUGACGCUGAGGCACGAAAGCGUGGGUAUCGAACAGGAUUAGAUACCCGCGUA
rnacentral:rRNA from 1 species